rnacentral:lncRNA from 1 species
UUGCAGGAUGUGGAACAAAUAAAGAAGAAUGUCAUGAACUGUGUCGCAGUUGGUUUUCUGUUUCUCUACCUCGCAAAGCAGGACCAGUAUGGCAAGUUCUCAAGACCCGUAAAAGAAAUCGUUGAAGAGUUGAAGAUAUGCGUGGGAAAGGACAUGCCCAGCGAUGCUACCUUGGCCCUGGCUAUGCUGCGCUCUGUUCGCAACUCUGUGAGGACGCUGGGAAAGUAAUGGCCGCAGUGCUACGCCCUACACGCCAAUCGCGGGAACGCACGACGUUCUAACGUCCGUUUACCCUAUGCUAAUUUUUUGCGCACUGUAAUGGUGACUUCCAAGAAAUUGG